GCUGGUCCUCAUUUAGCUCAUUUGACCUCUCCAGUGGUGCCUCAUGAACAGUCUCUCAUGGGUAAUUCUUGUGCAAAGCUGUAGGUGCUCUCCGCACCCAGAGAGGGCAGGGGCUUCCUCGUGUAUAAUUACACAAUAAGCCUGAGCAAUGGGUUGCCGGUCUUUCUGAAGGAUUGUGUGCAAGUGUGUGGUUUAUACAAUGUCUGAGAAAACAUAAGACUGAGUUGAUGCCAUUUAGUAAUGCCUUUUUCUCCUCUAGAAAAUACUUGGCUCUGAAGAGAGGCACGGAGGAAAUUGCUGAUAGAUUUGCACCAAAGAGAGCAGCGCUUGCUGGAGAAAUUGCUGUCUAACAUCCUUUGUGGACUUCCGACCAAAACCAUCCAGUGCAACAUAUGCUCCAGGUAUCCUGCUUGAUGGCUCAUUUAAGACCAAGAUUUCCUUUGUGGGCCAGGAGUAAAAUCCGAAUUUCCCUCCAAUACAGAGGACAUUCAGAAGGGGAAGCUGACCAGAACCCAGACUCAUCUGGCUACCAUGGGCAUCUCCCACUGCAUCAUUCAGGACCUGAGGUAUGUACUUAUUUCUUGAAGCACAGACAUGGUGUACAUAGCCUUAAACUAUUCUGACUGCAUUUUCUCUAUAUGAGGCACCAAG
rnacentral:lncRNA from 1 species